rnacentral:rRNA from 1 species
UACGGAGGGGGCUAGCGUUGUUCGGAAUUACUGGGCGUAAAGCGUGCGUAGACGGUUACAUAAGUCGGGUGUGAAAGCCCCGGGCUCAACCCGGGAACUGCGUCCGAUACUGGCUGGCUUGAAUCCGGGAGAGGGAUGCGGAAUUCCAGGUGUAGCGGUGAAAUGCGUAGAUAUCUGGAGGAACACCGGUGGCGAAGGCGGCAUCCUGGACCGGCAUUGACGCUGAGGCGCGAAAGCCAGGGGAGCAAACGGG